GGAUCACCUCCUUAAUCGACGACAUCAGCCUGCUGAUGAGCUCCCACACGAAUUGCUUGAUUCAUUGU
rnacentral:misc_RNA from 1 species